rnacentral:rRNA from 1 species
GACGAACGCUGGCGGCGUGCCUAAUACAUGCAAGUCGACCUUAGUGGCGAACGGGUGAGUAACACGUGGGUAACCUGCCCAUUAGAAGGGGAUAACACUUGGAAACAGGUGCUAAUACCGCAUACUGACGGCUGGACCCGCGGUGCAUUUGCUAGCUGGUGGGGUAACGGCUCACCAAGGCCACGAUGCAUACCCGACCUGGGAGGGUGAUCGGCCACAGUGGGACUGGGACCGGGCCCGAACUCCUGCGGGAGGCAGCAGUGGGGAAUCUUCGGCAAUGGACGAAAGUCUGACCGAGCAACGCCGCGUGAGUGAAGAAGGUUUUCGGAUCGUAAAACUCUGUUGUUGGGGGAGCGGUAUCUGACCAGAAAGCCACGGCUAACUACGUGCCAGCAGCCGCGGUAAUAC